ensembl:lncRNA
AUGUUUAACUCUGGAAAAUCCGAGCUGACCGCCAUCUUUUUUCCUCGGAGCCGAGCCGUCCAAGCAUCAAACCAAAGGAAGAGAGCAGCAGCUUUGCAGGGACUGCCAUGGUACAUGAAGGAAAAUCCUUCUACAUUGAUGAAGAGAUGUGAGGUAAGCAGCAAAAUGUUGUUUAAUGAUACAAAAACUAGUUCACAAUGGGCAUGGUUACACAUCAUUUCAGGCAUCCUCUGUGUGGAUACACUAUAUACAGUAGGUGGACAUCCAAAACGUCAUUUCUACCGCCGCUCGUACCGCCGCCGCGGCGUCUGCAAAGUGCAUUUGCAGCUUUUGACCGCUGAGUGGCGCUUUAAUCACAGGUUUUCAAACAAGCGCAUCAAAGCACAUUUUCGCAAAUAGACGUCAGCUUUGCCUCACCGAAGUGUUAUAUUUGAUUGCAGUCGGGGAAAAUGAAAGAAAAAAUAUUUAAUAUUCACAGAUGAAAGUUUAGUCCUUAUGAAGAUAUGUGCGUUUCUUAGAACGAAUUCAAGCAGGAUAAAUGUCUAAAAGCCUAUGAGCCUGUGCUUAUAUUUUCUCUACACCAUAUUUUAGAUUAGACACAUUUAAAUAGUGUGCAGUAUUAUUUAUAUAAUAUGAAUUAUGUGUUAUAUUAUUAAAAAGAAAAUGUGGUUUACUUUGCAUCGGAGCAUUAAAAGUGAUAGCCUAUUGUGAGCUAGGCUUGCGUGUUUUAUAAAUUAUUUUCUUUAUUUUAGUAAAACGUAAGGCACUGUAUCAUUUCGCUCCCAUUAUUUAGGCCUAAUUAAAACAAGAAACGAAUAAAUUAAACCUGCACGAUUUAACUAAAUCAUUGCAACUCUAAAGAAUGGAUGGAUUAAUAAAAACGUCCUCACUUAUCAACAAAGUGCACACGAUGUAGAGCUUCAUUAAUUGACAACUUCAGUGAUUUUAAAUGGAGUCUUCUUUGCUUGCUUUCAUAUAAUUUAAGUAAAGUAAAAAUAAAUAAAUAAAAUAAAUAAAUAAAUUGCAGCCGCAUUUAAAUGCAGGUUUGUAUAAUAUUCCGUAAAAUAUCAGUGCAAGAUUUGCUCUGCAUGAUGCUGAGUGCACGCAGCAUUUAUUCUUAUUUGUCUACAUAUUUUAUCUUCAUUACAAAUCUUGUUUGGUUUUAUUUUGGAUAAUUGCAUGUAAAAAAUUAUUUACUUUGCGAUGCAUAUGCAAAAUGUGAAUUAUUAUUUAUAUUCAAGUGUUUGUGCAAAAAUUAUUAAUGUGCAUGCGUGACAGGGAGGCGCCCUCUCGAUCACGUAAUUUUUUUCCUAAUAAAUGAAAUAACUGAAAAUUGUGGCGUCUCACAUACAUGAGAAAUAUAUCUACAGAAAGCUUGAAAUGUCUUUUAAACGAAUCAAUUCAAAACGAAAGCAUUAUGUAAUCUGUGAAGGUUGUAUUUCUGUUUAAAGGCGCGUCCAUGUGGAGAGAGUCAGCACUGUGAAUUUCAUCUUGCAGCCGACAAGAAAACAUUUGUUUAUUAAUAAAUAAUUAAAAUGUCUCCUUUUUCAUAAUUAUUAGGCUACUUCUGCCUGUGCUUUGUGACGAACUUAAUGCAUGUUCUUGAGCGUGGAAUAUAUUAAGGCUGGAUUAUAGUUGUAAAUUUAAUAUAAAUUUGCGAUUAGUUGAAUAAUGACAAAUGAACGACUAGUAACUAGAAAAAUCUUACGUGGGAAGCAGACCUAUUAAAUACCAUCUAGACAUCUCUGUUAAAGUUUUUAAAGAAUUUUAUACGCGUUUGCAUAAAUUCUUCCUUCAGAACGGUCUGUAAUGGAGAGAUGCCUUAACACUGAUUUUUCCUCUGAAACACAAAAACGAAAAUUGAUAAAUAAAAUAAAAUAAAAUAAAUAUUUUAUGUUUUGAGAAUGAUUGGGCUCAACCCUCCCCGCGCGUUUGAGACCCGCUGCCGAGCCGAGCAGAGUAUGAGCGGAGCGGAGUGAUUCUGACUGAAGAGGAGCGGAUUUUUUAAAAGUCAGGAGCGUCGUGGUUUUCACUCGCUCCAGCACCGCUCCAUCACGAAUACAAUUCAUGCCAACACCCCGUAAUAUAACUGCAUAUUUAGCAAGAAUUCACAUGAUAAACAUAUUUAGCUAUAGCUUGAUACACAUAAUCUCUCCGAUCAGAAGACUAUAAUGACGACAAUAGUCGAGCGGGAUGUUACAGGCUAGUUCUCAAGGAAUUUGUCUUCCUUUUACUGAUUAUUUUCGGGUUAAAGCAUGAUUUAAACAGAUACAACACAUUCACACGUAAUCGCUGUCGCAAUAAUGCAUUCAAACAAAUGUAAUCUUACAGUAGGCUACUUCAAUGAGCAGAAAUCUGUAACAAAUGCAUUGAUCUGUAGAUAAAAUAACUGACGAAAAUGUAAACUGUUAUUUUCAUCACAAACAAAAUUUGCACAGCAGAAAGCAGCAAUUAUACCUUUUAAUGCUGACAACAAUGUUAUUGUUGUUUUACGUCUUCCUUUCAUUUUACAAUUACAUUCAGUUCGCAAUCCGUCCCUUUGCGCCACCUGGCGGUAGUUUCGCGAAUGAUUUUAACACGCGACUGAUUAGCAGUUGCGGCGGCAUUACUCAUUUUGGUUGUCUACCAUCUGUAGCAAAACAUGUCUAAAGCACAGGCACCUUUUUGUUUGUUUUUGCAUGAAGCCAACAGAUCCUGGAGAGGACUUCAUCAGAGGAAUGGUGAUUGGAAUCCUUUUGGUCGCUGAAGAUGUGAAAGAGCCCCUUCCAGUUUCCUACAACGAUGUUGCCAAUGUCAUUGAGGAAAAGAUUGUCAUGCAUCAUCUUGGUGAUGUACCCAACGCUUUUGUGAACCUGAUGGGCCUGCUGUACAUGCUGAACCUUGACUAUCCAAAAGACAUGAAAUAUACUUUUGAGGUGAUUCAGCGCCUGUUCAUGGGAAUCGGGUCUGAGAUGUGCACUCCCAGGGUCCACUCUCUAAAGAACAAACUGCUCAGUUAGAGGGAUGGCUCAGGAGGAUGUUUCUGCAUUUGGCCAUGAGGAAGUAUUCUAAUUUUCUUGCCAUUUGUCCACUAUGUAGUAAGAGGAAAUAAAUGUAAAGCCCUUCUGUGGGUCACAACAGUUUAUGUUUUUAUGUUCUAACAGAUGUCUAUUGCUCUCUGUGGAGGAAAUGUCUCUUGCAAACACUAAUUUGUAUUUUAUGUUGUAGAGCAAACAUGAACAGAGUGGAGAUUUUUGUAAUGUUUGAACGUGUUCAUUUUCUGGCCGACAUUUGAGCAAGUUUCUCAGAGAUACAUUAUUUGUUUUGUUUUUACAAAUCUUUCUGCAAUUUACUGCAGCAACUCUGAACAUCCACAACAAUGGACUCAGUUGAAUUCGGAGAGUUAUUUUUUUUAAUGUAUUAUAUUAUUAUUUGUGGAACAGUGUAAUUUCAGUUAGUAAGCAGCCCCAAGCAAAAGUGUGUUAGAGAGUGUAAAGGCAAAAUUUUGAACAUGUCCCAAGGAAGGUCUUUUUUUGAUCUCUCAAUUUUAAAGCAAGGCUGGUUGAAGUUGGACUUGUUGGGGUUUUAAUAAAGGUCCUUAUGAAUUGGAUUUCAUCUCUUACUUUUUAUAUAAUUUCAUCUCUUACUUUUCAGCUUUUUUUAAUGUUAAUGUUAAUAUUUAAGUUUGACUGGCCAGUUCUCAUGUAGAUUUUUUGUAGAUAUUUGCUUAAAUUUUUUAAAUCUAGCAACUCAAUUAACUUGGCAAUAGAGCAUGAGAAAAAAAAGUAAUAAUGUUGCCCUAACUUGAUAAAACAAUUUAAACCAACAUCUUUUUUAGUUCUCUUAAGUAAUGUUUUACAGUCCAUAUUACUUGAUACAGAAAGUUGAGUCAACAAAUCACAAGUUGUAUCAAUUAUGUAUUCCAUGUUUAGCCAACUUGAUUCACAGUUGUAGGAACUUGAUCAAAUAAAUUCAACCAACAUCUCUUAAAGUUAUCUCAAAUAAUAUUUUAAAGUCCAACUUACUUGAUACAGGAAGUUCAGUCAACAGACGGCAUGUUGCAUCAAUUUGUGUUUUGAAGUGUAAUAAACUUGACACUAUAAGUUGACUCAAAUUAACUCAGUCAAAGC